rnacentral:rRNA from 1 species
CGGGGUGAGUAAUGUCUGGGAAACUGCCUGAUGGAGGGGGAUAACUGCUGGAAACGGUAGCUAAUACCGCAUAACGUCGCAAGACCAAAGAGGGGGACCUUCGGGCCUCUUGCCAUCGGAUGUGCCCAGAUGGGAUUAGCUAGUAGGUGGGGUAACGGCUCACCUAGGCGACGAUCCUUAGCUGGUCUGAGAGGAUGACCAGCCACACUGGAACUGAGACACGGUCCAG